UACGUAGGGUGCGAGCGUUAAUCGGAAUUACUGGGCGUAAAGCGUGCGCAGGCGGUGAUGUAAGACAGUUGUGAAAUCCCCGGGCUCAACCUGGGAACUGCAUCUGUGACUGCAUUGCUGGAGUGCGGCAGAGGGGGAUGGAAUUCCGCGUGUAGCAGUGAAAUGCGUAGAUAUGCGGAGGAACACCGAUGGCGAAGGCGGCAUCCUGGACCGGUAUUGACGCUGAGGCGCGAAAGCCAGGGGAGCAAACGGG
rnacentral:rRNA from 1 species